CAGUAAGCAGGAGCUAAGGCAGCAAUUAUACAUGUUCCUCCAUCUAUAUCAAUUACACACCUUCCAAGUGUCCCUAUGUUUCUCUUUUCAAUCCUAAUUUCCAUCUUUUCUAAGAGCUCCGUAUUGUUGGUGUGUCUGAGUGUAUAACAGAGCUCCACAGUAACAAUACUCCCAGUAAUGUGUCUGAGUGUAUAACAGAGCUCCAUAGCAAUAACACUCCCAGUAAUGUGUCUUAGUGUAUAACAGAGCUCCAC